CAGCUGACAGGAUUUGGCCCUGAUUUCAUUUCUUCUCUGUAAAAAGUUUCAGUGUCGCAACUCUCUGGAUGGCGUGCUUUGCUCUGAGAUUCUGCCUGCACAAUAACUGGUUUUAAACAAUUCUGUUUAAUCAAGAGUGAGGUAAAUGGCAGAGAUUCAAUGUUCUAGAUCAGCAGUUUCCAGGAUUGAUACAUCUUAAUCAAGCAAUUAGUUCAGUCACCAAACCAAAAUAUGAUUAUUCGCAGAGCUCCAGCGGUGAGUCCCUCUAUUUUCAGUGCACAUAAGUCUCUUUUCAGUGCAGAGAUGGCAGAAGGAGCAAUGAAGAUGCAGUAGAAAGCAGAGAAGUUGAAUGGGAGUUAUGGGGAGCCGUUGGAAGGAAUAGGAAGAUUCCUGUGGUGUGAUUAGAAUAUUGACCAGCCUGGCUACAAGCUCACAGACAGAUUUGACUGCUGUGAUGUUGCGAGUGUCCUGGCCUCUGCAAUGCCAAAGGGGUUCUACAAUCAAGUCCUUCUGUCAGUGGGAAACAUUUCUGUUUUGCCAACCCAAAGCAUUCAAACUUCAUGAGUC